rnacentral:rRNA from 1 species
AGCGAACGCUGGCGGCAGGCUUAACACAUGCGAGUCGAGCGGGCACCUUCGGGUGUCAGCGGCAGACGGGUGAGUAACACGUGGGAACGUACCCUUCGGUUCGGAAUAACGCUGGGAAACUAGCGCUAAUACCGGAUACGCCCUUAUGGGGAAAGGUUUACUGCCGAAGGAUCGGCCCGCGUCUGAUUAGCUAGUUGGUGGGGUAACGGCCUACCAAGGCGACGAUCAGUAGCUGGUCUGAGAGGAUGAUCAGCCACACUGGGACUGAGACACGGCCCAGACUCCUACGGGAGGCAGCAGUGGGGAAUAUUGGACAAUGGGCGCAAGCCUGAUCCAGCCAUGCCGCGUGAGUGAUGAAGGCCUUAGGGUUGUAAAGCUCUUUUGUCCGGGACGAUAAUGACGGUACCGGAAGAAUAAGCCCCGGCUAACUUCGUG